rnacentral:rRNA from 1 species
GACGAACGCUGGCGGCGUGCUUAACACAUGCAAGUCGAACGGAAAGGCCCUGCUUUUGUGGGGUGCUCGAGUGGCGAACGGGUGAGUAACACGUGAGUAACCUGCCCUUUACUUUGGGAUAACUUCAGGAAACUGGGGCUAAUACCGGAUAGGAGCUCCUGCUGCAUGGUGGGGGUUGGAAAGUUUCGGCGGUUGGGGAUGGACUCGCGGCUUAUCAGCUUGUUGGUGGGGUAGUGGCUUACCAAGGCUUUGACGGGUAGCCGGCCUGAGAGGGUGACCGGCCACAUUGGGACUGAGAUACGGCCCAGACUCAUACGGGAGGCAGCAGUGGGGAAUAUUGCACAAUGGGCGGAAGCCUGAUGCAGCAACGCCGCGUGCGGGAUGACGGCCUUCGGGUUGUAAACCGCUUUCGCCUGUGACGAAGCGUGAGUGACGGUAAUGGGUAAAGAAGCACCGGCUAACUACGUG